rnacentral:pre_miRNA from 1 species
CCUGGGGAUCUUGCAUCAAUGCAGAUUCUGGCUUAGGAAGUCUGAGGUGGGGCCUGGGAUUCUGAAUUCCUAACAAGUUCCCAGGUGAUGCUGAUGCUACUGGUCCACAGGC